rnacentral:tRNA from 1 species
CGCGCAGCGGCUGAAGGCGAAGUUGGCGAAGGCGGCGGGGGGCUAACCCCGUCAUCCCCGCGCAAGCGGGGAUCCACAGGUUUUCGCGCGCUCAUGGAUUCCUGCUUGCGCGG